rnacentral:tRNA from 1 species
CUUUAGGGAGCUGUACCAUUAGCAUUAGCCUUUUAAGCUAAAGAAAAUUCUAUUUAUUCCUGGAGA